CGGUAAGAGCGCACCGCGUUGGUGGCAACAUCAACGGCACGGUAAACCCCACUCGGAGCAAGACCAAAUAGGGAUCCAUGGGCGUGGCCCGCGCCGGAUUCGGGUAGGUCGCACGAGACGCGCGGUGACGCGCGCCCCAGAUGAAUGGCUGUCACGUUCCGUAACUGCGGAUCGAUACAGAAUCCGGCUUAUAGGCCGGCUCCUCUC
rnacentral:RNase_P_RNA from 1 species